UACGAAGGGGGCUAGCGUUGUUCGGAAUCACUGGGCGUAAAGGGCGCGUAGGCGGCUUUGUAAGUCGGGGGUGAAAGCCUGUGGCUCAACCACAGAAUUGCCUUCGAUACUGCAUGGCUUGAGACCGGAAGAGGUUAGUGGAACUGCGAGUGUAGAGGUGAAAUUCGUAGAUAUUCGCAAGAACACCAGUGGCGAAGGCGGCUGACUGGUCCGGUUUCUGGACG
rnacentral:rRNA from 1 species